GCGGGGUCGGAUGGAGCAGGGAGGCGAGAUGACGGACGACAGCGAAUUUCGGACGGCGCCAACGGCGGACAGCGGUCAAGGAAGAAGCAGGAGAAACCCACGGCUUCGAGUCCGUGGUCCAGAGGGGACGCGGACGACGCGGAGCCCGACACGGUCCCUGGAGCUACUCGGGGAGGAGGAUGACCGCGGCGGCAUCGCAACAGCGGCCGACGGAACCGAGAAAGGCGGCCUUGGUCCAAGACGUUCCUGCACCCUGGCGCCCCAAAUCACCAUUGAAGGGACUACAGGAGCAACAAUGGAGCUAGGUAACCAGGAGCAAGAACGCACCGGAGAAACGAGAUGGUUCACGGUGGCGUCCGGCGGGCGUGCAUGUCCGAUCCGGAGGAAUGGACGUCCUCGAUCCGGACCGAUGGCUAGCGGGUCUCGCCGGUCCCUACGGCUGUCGUUGCAGCAGAGCGCGGCGGCGUCCUCGGUGAGCUUGACGAGGAACGGAACGAGGGAGGGAAAAGAGUACGAGAA
rnacentral:lncRNA from 1 species